UACGUAGGGUGCGAGCGUUAAUCGGAUUUACUGGGCGUAAAGCGUGCGCAGGCGGCUCGUUAAGACAGGUGUGAAAUCCCUGGGCUCAACCUAGGGAUUGCGCUUGAGACUGGCGGGCUCGAGUACGGUAGAGGGGGGUGGAAUUCCUGGUGUAGCAGUGAAAUGCGUAGAGAUCAGGAGGAACACCGAUGGCGAAGGCAGCCCCCUGGGACUGUACUGACGCUCAUGCACGAAAGCGUGGGGAGCAAACAGG
rnacentral:rRNA from 1 species